rnacentral:rRNA from 1 species
GACGAACGCUGGCGGCGUGCUUAACACAUGCAAGUCGAACGGAAAGGCCCUGCUUUUGUGGGGUUCUCGAGUGGCGAACGGGUGAGUAACACGUGAGUAACCUGCCCUUGACUUUGGGAUAACUUCAGGAAACUGGGGCUAAUACCGGAUAGGAUCUCCUGCUGCAUGGGGGGGGUUGGAAAGUUUCGGCGGUUGGGGAUGGACUCGCGGCUUAUCAGCUUGUUGGUGGGGUAGUGGCUUACCAAGGCUUUGACGGGUAGCCGGCCUGAGAGGGUGACCGGCCACAUUGGGACUGAGAUCAGGCCCAGACUCCUACGGGCGGCAGCGGUCGAGAGUAUUGCCCAAUGGCAGGAAGCACGAUGCAGAAACGUCGCGUGCGGGAUGACGGACUUCGAGUUGUCAACCGCUUUCGACUGAGACGAAGCGUGAGUGACGGUAAUGGGUAAAGCAGCCCCGGCUAACUACGUG